CAAGCCCUUAAUGAAAGAGAGACUCCCUUGUCCACAGUGACAGUCUGUAGCUCCCAGCAUCUUCUCCCAAAUUUCCCCAGAAGCACCACAAGGCCUCUGAAGUUUGAGUCAACAAAGGUGAUCAAAGACAGGGAGCAGCUUUGCAGCACAAAGAGGUUAAUGAUACAAAGGCAAUUCAGUGAAAUGAUCAGACAGCAGGUUCAGGAUGAUCACAAAUACUUCCUUCCCAUCCCCAAAUCUGCCCCACACUUGGAACGAGCUUCAAAAAAACACCCAAAAAAGUCUUCCAGAGCUAUGAAAUGCCAAUGCAGCUCAUGAGCAAACUGAGAUACAGGCCCUUGGAAGCAGCACAGAAGUAUCACUGGAUGUUCCUGUGCUUCUUGAAGAUGUCUGCCCAUCACCACUUUGGUCACCCUGCGCUGGAUUCUCCAUCUUUUCCCCCCCUGGUAUCACCAGGAGAGGGGUUGGACAUCAAGGAAAAUCAGU